UACGGGGGGAGCAAGCGUUGUUCGGAUUUACUGGGCGUAAAGGGCGCGUAGGCGGCCACCGCAAGUCAGUUGUGAAAGCUCUGGGCUUAACCCAGAAAGGUCAGCUGAUACUGCGGGGCUAGAGUGCAGAAGGGGCAACUGGAAUUCUCGGUGUAGCGGUGAAAUGCGUAGAUAUCGAGAGGAACACCUGCGGCGAAGGCGGGUUGCUGGGCUGACACUGACGCUGACAGCGCGAAAGCUAGGGGAGCGAACGGG
rnacentral:rRNA from 1 species